CUAGCGCUAGCUAGAAGGGUUUGCGGUGUGACUCGUGACUUGAAGUCGUAACUUACGGGCUAAAAACGGUGUCUGGAACGCAGCAUUAGAACCAAUCCAUUCAAU